CCAGACUCCUACGGGAGGCAGCAGUGGGGAAUAUUGGACAAUGGGGGGAACCCUGAUCCAGCGACGCCGCGUGAGUGAAGAAGUAUUUCGGUAUGUAAAGCUCUAUCAGCAGGGAAGAAAGAAAUGACGGUACCUGACUAAGAAGCCCCGGCUAACUACGUGCCAGCAGCCGCGGUAAUACGUAGGGGGCAAGCGUUAUCCGGAUUUACUGGGUGUAAAGGGAGCGUAGACGGCGAUGCAAGUCUGAAGUGAAAGGCGGGGGCCCAACCCCCGGACUGCUCUGGAAACUGCGUCGCUGGAGUACGGGAGGGGCAGGCGGAAUUCCUGGUGUAGCGGUGAAAUGCGUAGAUAUCAGGAGGAACACCGGCGGCGAAGGCGGCCUGCUGGACCGUGACUGACGUUGAGGCUCGAGAGCGUGGGGAGCAAACAGGAUUAGAUACCCCUGUAAU
rnacentral:rRNA from 1 species